rnacentral:rRNA from 1 species
GACGAACGCUGGCGGCGUGCCUAACACAUGCAAGUCGAGCGCUGAAGGUUGGUACUUGUGCUAUGCUGGUGUGCAGCGAACGGGUGAUUAACGAGAGGGAAAUCCCCCUUCGAGCGGGGGACAACACUUGCAAACGAACGCAUAUACCGCAUAAAAACUUUAUACACAAGUUCUAAGUUUGAAAGCUGCAAUUGCAUCACUCAAACAUGAUCCCGCGUUGUAUUAGCUAGUUGGUGAGGUAAAGGCUCACCAAGGCGAUGAUACAUAGCCGACCUGAGAGGGUGAUCAGCCACACUGGGACGGAGACACGGCCCAAACUCAUAGGGGAGGCAGCAGUAGGGAAUCUUGGGCAAGAGACGAAAGUCUGUCCGAGAGACGCCGCAUGAGUGAAGAAGGUUUCCGGAUCGUAAAACUCUGUUGGUAGGGAAGAACGUUGGUUAGACUGGAAAGCUCAUCAAGUGACGGUAACUAGCCAGAAAGCGACGGCUAACUACGUG